UACAGAGGUCUCAAGCGUUGUUCGGAUUCAUUGGGCGUAAAGGGUGUGUAGGUGGCGCGCUAAGUCGGGUGUGAAAUUUCGGAGCUUAACUCCGAAACUGCAUUCGAUACUGGCGUGCUUGAGGACUGGAGAGGAGACUGGAAUUUACGGUGUAGCAGUGAAAUGCGUAGAUAUUCGCAAGAACACCAGUGGCGAAGGCGGCUCACUGGCCCGAUACUGACGCUGAGGCACGAAAGCGUGGGGAGCAAACAGG
rnacentral:rRNA from 1 species